rnacentral:rRNA from 1 species
AUUGAACGCUGGCGGCAUGCCUUACACAUGCAAGUCGAACGGCAGCGCGGGAGCAAUCCUGGCGGCGAGUGGCGAACGGGUGAGUAAUAUAUCGGAACGUGCCCAGUAGUGGGGGAUAGCCCGGCGAAAGCCGGAUUAAUACCGCAUACGACCUGAGGGUGAAAGCGGGGGAUCGCAAGACCUCGCGCUAUUGGAGCGGCCGAUAUCAGAUUAGCUAGUUGGUGGGGUAAAGGCCUACCAAGGCAACGAUCUGUAGUUGGUCUGAGAGGACGACCAGCCACACUGGGACUGAGACACGGCCCAGACUCCUACGGGAGGCAGCAGUGGGGAAUUUUGGACAAUGGGCGCAAGCCUGAUCCAGCAAUGCCGCGUGCAGGAAGAAGGCCUCGGUUGUAA